rnacentral:lncRNA from 1 species
GUCUGGUCUGGGUUGACACUACUGCAAUUAGCGGUUUAAGGUCCUGGGUUCGAUUCCUGGGGAGACCCCCGAACUAGUCGGGAGCGCGAGAUUAUGGCUAGCUGCUGAGAUGUGGAGUUGAGGUCACAGUUGAUGGACCAGAUUCGCACGCUGGAUUGGUGGCGAUUGCCGAACCCUCCGUCUCUUCGGGUGUUCGGGUGAAUGGAUGAGGAGGGGUCCCUGAAGGCUGGAUCCGCCGCCUUGGACUUACAGUUCGUAUGGCGAAGACAGUGUGGUAGUGGUGGAUGGUGCUAUAAGGUGAUAAAUGAUCGUAGAACUGACAAUGUGAUAAAGCGGCCCAGAAGCCUCCCACUCUGUAACACAUUACAUUACAUUACAUAAGUUGGUUGACGCCAAGCCGAGGUCUACUCCUUUGCCUCCGGGUUUUAGGUACACAUCUACGGGGGACGGAGAGGAGCUGCUGGGCAAUCCCACGGAGUAUAGGGCUUUGGUGGGAGAAUUGAACUAUCUUGCGACGAACAUGCGGCCUGACAUUUCUUAUGCAUUGAGUGUUUUGUCCCGGCAUAUGGCCACACCUACGAAGACUGCCAUGAACUUGGCCACUGGCGUUCUGCGUUACCUGGCGGGUACUCGCGAACUAGGAUUGCGUUUUGGGGGUGUUGGUGACGUUGCUAUGUCCGGGUAUAGCGAUUCUGACUGGGCAGGAGACCCAGUUACGCGGCGUUCUACGUCCGGUUACGUAUUCACUCUUAAUGGGGCUGCGAUUAGCUGGAGCAGCCAACUUCAACGUACUGUGGCAGCUUCGUCGGUGGAGGCUGAGUACCAAGCUACAGCGGCGGCUGUUCGUGAGGCUUUGUGGCUUCACAAGCUGAUGGUUGAUUUGAGCUUGCCUGAGAGCGUGGUGAAAAUCCAGAUAGACUCCCAGGGGCGCUUAGCUUGGGAAACAACCCGAUUACGUCUGCUCGGUCGAAGCACAUCGACGUGCAGCAUCACAUAGUGCGUGAGAGGGUGAAUAGCGGUGAGGUGCAGUUGGAAUACUGCCCUACGGAGUGGAUGGUUGCGGAUGUACUAACGAAGGCUCUGGGCGAGGUGAAGUUCAAACGUUGCCGAGAUGCUAUGGGCCUUGUGUGAAGUGUGCAGAUGAACUUGGUACUCGUUGGGAUACGGCCCGAGGGGGCGUGUUGAGGAAACGGUCCUCUCCCAACUCGUGUGGUUGUCGACCAGGGGAUUUGACCCCGGGUCUGCGCCUGACUAAUGGGGAAGACUUACCCCAGAACUUUAUGGGGCUACCGAUGCAUAUCCGGUAGCUAAGUGAUAGACAUUAGGGCACCGUCUGGACGGCGCAGUGAGAUCGCGGAAUGUACGUGCAGUUAGAUCGCGGAAUGUACGAGUUUUCCGCUAACGCCGGUAUUUAGGGCGGUGACUGCGCCUAUUAGUUUAUCUCACAACGAUCAGUAUUCCUACCAGGAAUCUCCUCAAGUCCUGCCGAACGCUAACAAUACUCUUUACAUUUCUUGUAACAGUUUAUCGUGCUAAAUAUCUUCGCCACCGGCAAUCCUUCCGAAAUAACAAUUAGCGUUAGCCGUCACCGUCGCCAAUUCUAAAUAACACUCCUCAAAUAUCCGAGGAGCCGGCAGGCGGUUUUGAACCCGGGUCGACCGGGAGUAGAAGCCAGGCCUUAACCUCUGCCAGCCGCCUGCCCAUAAAGGUAUAUAAGACACGAGUUGUGCUAGUCUUAGUAUCUCAUCUUUGUAUGGAUCGGUAUUCCUUAGUAGGAAUCUCCUAAAGGCUUCUUGCCGUUUAUCACUCACCUACCGAUUGUAAGACUUAUAUCGCAACCAGUCUCCUUGCCUCCUUCAUAUUCUUAACAGGGCCCGGUGGGUCUAGCAAGGGAUCAGUUUUCUCGAGGCAUGUUGUGUUUGUAGCUUACAACAGUAAGCGUCUGAGGGAUCCUGGUCGGAUACAUGAGUGGAGGACAGUAUCGUGUGAUGUACAAGGACGGCAUCAUCGCCGUGGUCUCCAAUGUCCGCUUUGACGGAUUUAGUGUCGGCCGGCGGCAUAAUGCCAGGGAUUCUGACGAUUGGUCCGAUGCCAACGAAGAUUUCGCCCUAGUUUGCCUGGUGAGGGGUCGCUGCCUAGGGCUGGCGAAUGGACAUCAGGCAAUACCUCAGCGAGGGAUCGCCGCCUUUGUGUGGCCAGGGGGCGCUGGCUGGGACUGGACCUCCCAGAAGUGUGAAUGUGCAAGGAAAUACACAACCUGAUGUAGAAAUAAUGGGGGCUUUUCAGUUAGGGAAUGUAAACGGUCCUGGCGAGUGGUGACGGAGUGUACCUGGUCGUAAUGCUACAGGCCGAGUCAUUGCUGCAGUAUCUGCUGGAAUUCAUAACUUUUAUGCCGAAGCCAUCCCAGGUCUACAUGCAGACGACUGGCGGCAGUGAGUGCCGCGAAACAUUUGUAUCCAGUCGACCCAACUGGACAGCGUGGAUUGCAGCAGGCGAUCAUUUGAUGCAACUACAAGCAGACGGGCCGUAUAGCUCGGAGUUGCAGAGAGAGCCGCAGCCUAACGUGCAAGGAAGGAGUGGAGGUGGUCUUGGCGACCACACGUGGCAGGUGGGGUAGCAUGCCUCAACAGACAGGCGGUGGCGGCAGUUCAGUGAUGCCGUGUAUUUUUUUGCUGCAAGAUACGUUAGUAUCACUAUCAAUUGUCUGACUCCGAAGCGGCUAGUAUUGGUGUACCUGAGUCAGGGCCUUUGCCAGCGGCAAGCCAGCGCAGGAGUUCAGAAGAAUAGGGCAGGGAAUAUGAGGAGAUUUUAUAGCCCCCGGAGUGGUGGCAUGGUGUUGCAGGAAGGAGCAUAGGAGGUCGCAUUAACGUGGCUGUCACUUAUCCGUUCCCUCCUGAACUUUUGCUGAGUAAUACUUUCACUGAAGCCAUUUCAGGUGCAAAUGCAAGUGAGUGGCGCAGAGUGAUGGUCGAGGAGAUUGCUACAUUAGCAGCUAACGGCACUUGUGAGCUGUGUGCUAAUGUACCGGUGGUUGUACAAGUUGAAAAGAGUGGAAGGUGACACGGUCAAGCGGUUUUUUGCAUGGCUAGGUGCAAAGAUGUACGAGAAGUACGAGAACUUGGAGACGUGCAGGUGUUUUUGGGCAUGGAAAUAAUGAGGAUGAAGCCGGGCAAAUUGGUGUUGUCGCAAUGUAGGUAUAUUGAGAAGCUAUUGGAGCGUCAUCAGAUGGUGGAUGCCAAGCCGAGGUCUACCCCUUUGCCUCCGGGUUUUAGGUGCACACCUACGGGGGAUACAGAUGAGCUGCUGGGUAAUCUCACGGAGUAUAGGGCUUUGGUGGGAGAGUUCAACUACCUAGCGACGAACACACGGCCUGACAUUUCUUAUGCAUUGAGUGUUUUGUCCCGGCAGAUGGCCACACCUACGAAGACUGCCAUGAAUUUGGCCACUGGCGUUCCGCAUUACCUGGCGGGUACUCGCGUACUAGGAUUGCGUUUUGGGGGUGUUGGCGGUGUUGCAAUGUCCGGGUACAGCGAUUCGGACUGGGCAGGAGACCCAGUUACGCGGUGUUCUACGUCCGGUUACGUGUUCACUCUUAAUGGGGCUGCGAUUAGCUGGAGCAGCCAACUUCAACGUACUGUGGCGGCUUCGUCAGUGGAGGCCGAGUACCAAGCUACAGCGGCGGCUGUUCGUGAAGCUUUGUGGCUUCGCAAGCUGAUGGUGAAAAUCCAGAUAGACUCCCAGGGGGCGCUUAGCUUGGGAAAUAAUCCGAUUACGUCUGCUCAUUCGAAACACAUCGACGUGCAGCACCACAUAGGGCGUGAAAGAGUGAAAAGCGGUGAGGUGCAGUUGGAGUACUGCCCUACAGAGUGGAUGGUAGCGGAUGCGCUCACGAAGACACUGGGAGAAGUGAAGUUCAAACGGUGCAGAGAAGCUAUGGGUGUUGUGUGAAGUGCCCAUUGGCGGAGCAAAUGUGCUACUGCGAGUUGGGAUAUGUCCCGAGGGGGCGUGUUGAAGGGCGGUCCUAUCCCAACAUAGAUAGGUGGUAGUUAGGCGAUGAAUCCGCCGUGAUAGGCGUUGCCUCGGCCGUGCCUCGACCUUGCCUCGGCCGUGCCUCAACCUUCCCUCGGGUCUCUCGGCCGCGUAUCUCGGACGUGUCCUCAGGUCCAGGGAUGGUGGACGACUGAACGAUACUUCCAUUGGUACUGGUAUAUAAGACACGAGAUGUGCAUGUCUUAGUAUCUCAUCUUCGGAUGGAUCGGUAUUCCUUAGCAGGAAUCUCCUAAAGUCUUCUUGCCGUUCACCACUAACCCACGUACAGUAACCCUUAUAUCGCGACCAGUCUCCUUGCCUUCAUAUUCUUAACAGGGGGCAACACCCAGUGCUUACGUUCAAGGUAAAAUAUCAGGGUAAGACCCAACAAGCUGCCCUGACGUUGAACGUUGACAUAACCCAUCAGCACCCCUCGACCAUGUUCAACAUGCUCCCCAGGUUCCAAAAGGGUUACAAGGCAGCCCUGGUUGCAAGCAGUCCGGAAACGAGCAAACACUCCUCACCUGAAUCGCAUCGUUCUCUCCAGACACCCCUGCCUCCUCGGCUCCACCGCCUGUGUUGCUCUCCUAGCGCCCUGUCCCGCGCCCAGUUCUCCCGCCGCUGCUGCGUCCACGCCCUCGACCACCGCGCGUGCCAGCGGCGGUUCCGGAUCGCCCACGGCCGCGCGUGCCGCCAGCAGCACCUGUGACCUCGACUGGGGCCUGGGCCGUUGCCAUGCCCGCAUCCCCACCGGUCCCUACGGUGGCAGGGCUGCGCCGGUCCCGCCACCCCUGGGAUGCAUGGCCUGGGCAGUUUCAGCUGCUAGGUUUGCUACCUGGGCAACGCAGGCGAGCGAGCAAGCUAUGAAUUUACAAGUACUCCCCCACCCUUCGUGUGUCGAUUGCUCAGUGAUCCGCGAGGCCCCAAUCUUCUGUGAUGGUUCCGGCUGCUGAUGACACUGCACUCUGCCUGAAAUUGACCAAAUCAGGGCAGUGCUGUCCUCCUCAUAGGAUAGCACGCCACAGGGCAGGCUCCCCCUGAACCGCUUGACUGCAGCGUUGACGUCCUCAUGCGUGGAGAACUUCCUCAGAAAGCUUGUUCUCAAUGCUGUCCCGGUAACGUCAAAGAAUGGAGGCGCUACCUGGACCUCACGGCCGUCUGUGUAGGGCAUUGUUAACGAGACAACAUCGCCUGCUGACCUGACGCCUGCAGCACCGGCCAUGGAGCUCAACCUUCCCCUUGAAGUAAUAAGUUGCAUUCUGCUUCCUGAAAAUGCUCGCUGAUAUCAUGUUACCUCCCAGCUCAAAACUAAGCGGUAUCACGUUUUGGCUCUGCUGUUCAUAGGAUUCCCCUAAAGCACACCGGAGUUCAAUACUUCUGGGAAAGUCUUGUUCCAUUUUCCAGCUUAUGGAACUAUAAGGUUGCACUUGUUCAGGUACAGACGGCGCGGAAGCUAUUGGUCCGUCCUGUAUCGUGAGUCGUGGCUAGUGUAAACUGUAUCGGGUAUAGCAAUGGAAUACAAGAACGUAGAGAGUGAGGCAGGUCGUGAUAAGACUUGGCUGAUGACAUGCAAGUAUACAAGUACGGCGCCCAUACUAGAGUACCGCCAGCUCGCCAUCAGUACUAUCCGUACUAUCCCAACUCCUGUGGUUGUUGACCAGGGUAUUUGACCCCGGGUCUGUGUUGAGGAAACGGUCCUCUCCCAACUCGUGUGGUUGUCGACCGUAUUUGUUUAUCUCACUACGAUCGGUAUUCCUACCAGGAAUCUCCUCAAGUCCUGCCGAACGCUAACAAUACUCUUUACAUUACUUGUAACAGUUUAUCGUGUUUCAUAUCUUCGCCGCCGGCAAUUCUUCUGAGAUAACAAUCAGCGUUAGCCGUCACCGUCGCCAAUUCUUCAAUAGGUUAUGAGCCCCGCUUAGCGCCGACAGCUAUCGCCCAAUUGUUAUUUCUAUCCCUCAUCGACAAUGGUUAAGGACAAGCUUGAUGAGUCGCUGGACCUCAACAACUACUCUACCUGGCAAAUUAGGUUUAGCGCGAUGUGCAUGGAGCUUGGGCUUGAGCAAUCCCUGCUCGCCGAGCCGUGCAACGAGGAGCAGAUUCGACAGUCACGGUCAUCAAUCUGCUCAUCAAGAACGUCAAGGAUCAUCAUUUGCCGAUGGUUACCGGUGCUGCCAACGCGAAGAAGGCCUGGGACGCCUUGGGAUCUAUGUUUGCUGCCAACAACAACGCCCGCAAGGUGUCUCUACGUCAAGAAUUCAGCCGUUUUAAGAUGGUCGACGGCGAACCUCUCCCGAUGUACUUUGCGCGUGCAAGGCAGCUGCAAACAGAUUUAUUGGGAGUCGGCCACGUAGUUAACGACUCCGAGCUGGCGUACACCGUGCUAGUUGGUCUACCCAGUCGGUACAGCGUGGUGACGACUACGUUACUUAUGCGCGACGGCGAUUUGGACAUGGCGAGCGUCACAGCAAAGCUUCUCUCUAUCGAGACGGCUAACGGUGGGUCGGGCAAGCCUACCGAGUCGGCAGCCUUCGCGUCUGUCGGCGGUUCGACGUUCGGCGCUUCUACUUCUGGUUAUGGUAGCCGGGGGCCGGCUAACAACAGCUCGGGACAUAGUCGGAAGCAAGUCAUCUGCUACUACUGUAAUAAACCUGGGCACGUGGUUAAGGACUGCAGGCAGCUUAAGGCGCUGAAGCAGUCGUCAAAUUCUGGCUAUAAGGGUGGGUACAACAACAGUGGCAACGGAGGUAGUGGCAGCGGAGCUAGCGGCAGCAAGCCAGGAUCCGGUGGAUCAGCUAGGGGGCCAGGAGUUCCGCGGCGUUCGUAGCAUAUAACAGCGAGCGUCCGACGGAAUGGUUUCUGGACUCAGCCGCCACUCACCACAUAACGUAUGACCGCUCAGAACUUUUCAACGUGCGGUUGUUGGAGCCAUGGGAGCGCUUCAACAUCAUGGGCAUCAAGGGACAAUCUCUUCGACCGACUGAAGUUGGCACGCUUACGAUUCGGUCUAACGUCAACGAUAAACAGGCCAUCACUUUCAAGAAGGUCUACGUCGACGAGGAGGCCACCGCCAAAAUCAUAUCGGUCCGCAUCAUUGAUGAUCGUGGAGGCAGUGUGGUCUUCGGCGGCGGACAGGCGAAAGUAUACGUACAGAACCAGUUGGUGCUGACUGGAAAGCGGGAUGGGGACUUGUAUCCCGUCUGCUACAGCAGUGGAGGUACGGGAGCUCUGAAGAGGACGCAGCGUGAAGACAACAGGAUACCUUCUGGUGGUGAUGCAGUGUGUGCUGCCGUGGGUAUCGGAGCUGAACGUGCAGCACUUUGGCACCGAAGGUAUGGCCACUUGGGAUACAGCAACCUUGAGACGUUGCUGCGUCAUAAUAUGGUAGCUGGAUUUGAUGUUGACCGACACAGCAUACAAUCAGCCAGCACGUGUGUGUGUGAGACUUGCGUCCUUGCUAAACAUACACGUGGUCCUUUUCCGUUUUCAUGAGUAGUUGCCUUACCGCUUAUAGACGUGAGUAGAGCUUGGGUACCUGCGAGCAGAAGAGUGCACUUGCUUCCGUGGGAGGAGGCGAGCCUGGUUACCGACUGCGUUAUCUGCCUCGGGGCGGUGUAAUUGGCAGACGACGCAGUGGAAACCUGUCAGUACUGACUAAAUUAACUCGCGAAAUUGCUCUUUCCGUCGCGCUCUCCGCGACUUGCCCUACUUUCUCACCAGUACGGCCCCGCCGUACCACCAACGAACUGCCGAGUACGCUCUCGGCAAAUACACAGAAAACCUUGGUUUUCUUUCGUUACUCUCAGAAAACCUACAGUUAUCUAGGCAUAAGGCAGCGCAGCCUCUCGCGCUCAUUCACAUGAAUGGUCUGGUCUGAGUUGACACUACUGCAAUUAGCGGUUUAAGGUCCUGGGUUCGAUUCCUGGGGAGACCCCUGAAUUAGUCGGGAGCGCGAGAUUAUGGCUAGCUGCUGAGAUGUGGAGUUGAGGUCACAGUUGAUGGACCAGAUUCGCACGUUAGAUUGGUGGCGAUUGCCGAACCCUCCGUCUCUUCGGGUGUUCGGGUGAAUGGAAGAGGAGGGGUCCCUGAAGGCUGGAUCCGCCGCCUUGGACUUACAGUUCGUAUGGCGAAGCACAGUGUGGUAGUGGUGGAUGGUGCUAUAAGGUGAUAAAUGAUCUAGAACUGACAAUGUGAUAAAGCGGCCCAGAAGCCUCCCACUCUGUAA